CCUACGUGGGGCAGCAGUGAGGAAUAUUGGUCAAUGGACGCAAGUCUGAACCAGCCAUGCCGCGUGCAGGAAGACGGCUCUAUGAGUUGUAAACUGCUUUUGUACGAGGGUAAACGCAGAUACGCGUAUCUAUCUGAAAGUAUCUUACGAAUAAGGAUCGGCUAACUCCGUGCCAGCAGCCGCGGUAAUACGGAGGAUUCAAGCGUUAUCCGGAUUUAUUGGGUUUAAAGGGUGCGUAGGCGGUCGGAUAAGUUAGAGGUGAAAUCCAGAGGCUCAACUGCGGCAUUGCCUCUGAUACUGUUGGGCUAGAGAGUAGUUGCGGUAGGCGGAAUGUAUGGUGUAGCGGUGAAAUGCUUAGAGAUCAUACAGAACACCGAUUGCGAAGGCAGCUUACCAAGCUACUUCUGACGUUGAGGCACGAAAGCGUGGGGAGCAAACAGGAUUAGAUACCCUUGUAGUC
rnacentral:rRNA from 1 species